rnacentral:lncRNA from 1 species
UAUAGAUAGGACUGCUAAUCUUACAAGCAUUCUCAAGAUCGAUUGUCGGCAGUAGUUCUAUUCAUUCUAUCGCUGUAACUUUUCUCUCGUGUUGCUAUGGACAAGUUGUUUGACCUGGAUCUCCGUGACCCCCGCACAGAAGGAAGACACCUUGCCGUUGGGUUGAUGCAUGACCAAUUCCUUGCAGAAGCCAUGGAGGCUGCGGAGAAUGUCAAUCGGGCAAGAUCUGGAGGGGAUUCACCACGGAGCUCAACCAAACGGAGCGGACGCGGCAAGGCCAGAGGGAGACGUGGAGGCCGUGCGGGCCAUACAGGCCGUGCAGACCGAUGGAGUGGCCUAACUACAGGCAUGGACACUGAGGUGUUGGCACUUCCUUCAGAGGAUUCCUUGCCCUUACCCAGAGCACAGCAAAAUCCUCAAGAGAUGUUUGAACAAAACAUGGAGAGGCUUUCUGCCCUACUGGAUUCAAGCCCCUGUCCUGCUGAGCCUGAGAGAAGCGCAGCAUCAUCGUGGUCUGUUAGGCAGCAGAAAGCCUCUGACCGUUGGGAGGAAGCACGGCCGUACCACCUCAGAUGCCUUUUGGAAUCUGAGGCUGUUGGCAAGCCAUUGUGUUGCUUCUGCCACAAGCCGGCUGUUAUAAGGUUGGAUGUUCAUCAAUCAAAUAAUAGAAUGUAUCUAUGUACACUAAAAAAAGUAUAUCAUAUAAAUUGA